UCGGAUAUGGUGUAAUGGUUAACAUUACCGCCUCUCAUUCCUAGUUCGCGGUAGCUCGGGGUUCGAUUCCCCGUAUCCGAA